rnacentral:rRNA from 1 species
ACUCAAAGGAAUAGACGGGGACCCGCACAAGCGGUGGAGCAUGUGGUUUAAUUCGAAGCAACGCGAAGAACCUUACCAGGUCUUGACAUCCCGAUGAAAAACCCGUAACGGGGUUCCCUCUUCGGAGCAUCGGAGACAGGUGGUGCAUGGUUGUCGUCAGCUCGUGUCGUGAGAUGUUGGGUUAAGUCCCGCAACGAGCGCAACCCUUAUUCUUAGUAGCCAGCAGGGAAAGCUGGGCACUCUAAGGAGACUGCCGGGGAUAACCCGGAGGAAGGUGGGGAUGACGUCAAAUCAUCAUGCCCCUUAUGAUCUGGGCUACACACGUGCUACAAUGGCGUAACAAAGGGAAGCGAGCCUGCGAGGGUGAGCAAAUCCCAAAAAUAACGUCCCAGUUCGGACUGUAGUCUGCAACCCGACUACACGAAGCUGGAAUCGCUAGUAAUCGCGAAUCAGAAUGUCGCGGUGAAUACGUUCCCGGGUCUUGUACACACCGCCCGU